AGAGCUGGGUCAGAGCUCGAGCCAGCGGCGCCCGGAGAGAUUCGGAGAUGCAGGCGGCUCGGAUGGCCGCGAGCUUGGGGCGGCAGCUGCUGAGGCUCGGGGGCGGAAGGUCUGUGUGUGACAAGAGGGACGGUGGGCAGCGGCCCUGGGCACCGGGCCGGCACUGAACCCCCACUCCCCACAGCUCGCGGCUCACGGCGCUCCUGGGGCAGCCCCGGCCCGGCCCUGCCCGGCGGCCCUAUGCCGGGGGUGCCGCUCAGCUGGCUCUGGACAAGUCAGAUUCCCACCCCUCUGACGCUCUGACCAGGAAAAAACCGGCCAAGGCGGAAUCUAAGUCCUUUGCUGUGGGAAUGUUCAAAGGCCAGCUCACCACAGAUCAGGUGUUCCCAUACCCGUCCGUGCUCAACGAAGAGCAGACACAGUUUCUUAAAGAGCUGGUGGAGCCUGUGUCCCGUUUCUUCGAGGUAAGGAAUGACUCGGGGCUUGGUCCCUGGUGAGGUGUUUGGAGAUGUUAAGCUCAAAAGGAGCCUGGAUGUGGGAUCCUGUGCCUUCCCCAGGAAGUGAACGAUCCCGCCAAGAAUGACGCUCUGGAGAUGGUGGAGGAGACCACUUGGCAGGGCCUCAAGGAGCUGGGGGCCUUUGGUCUGCAAGUGCCCAGUGAGCUGGGUGGUGUGGGCCUUUGCAACACCCAGUACGCCCGUUUGGUGGAGAUCGUGGGCAUGCAUGACCUUGGCGUGGGCAUUACCCUGGGGGCCCAUCAGAGCAUCGGUUUCAAAGGCAUCCU
rnacentral:lncRNA from 1 species